GUUCCCAUUUUAGUGCAUCAGUAAUCAAAUACUCACCACUUACCAUCAUACAAUGUCCUCAUGGAUGAUGCACUAGCGCUCUGAAUGGUUGCAAUGACAUUGAGGGGAAGGCCUGCGGCGUCCAAAUGAGCCUCUCACUGGCCAAGCCCAAAGAGCCAGACACUCUGAAUGAGGGUGAAGGAGCUCUCUGAAGAGUACUGUUUGUUGACAGGCUAGACAAGUCCGAACCAAAUGCACUUUGAAGAUGAAGUGGCGUAACAGAAGCUUUCGGUGACCGAGUUGCUAGUUCACGCUACAAACAAUUUAGCCACCUAGCCAUGACUCCUGUCCGAGAGCAAGCCUCUGGGGGUGAGAAGAGGUUUUAGACUGAUUCAAUGAUGUUGUUUCGUAUAUAAAGUAGGAGGAAGUACUGUAUGUCCGUGACUCAUAUGUCAGAUGACCAAACAAUGAUGGCAAGUGUGGUCGCAAGGGGGCAUGAGUUUUUUUUUCAACUGCAGUGUGAUAUCUCGUAAUGUUAGAAUGUUUUAUUAUUAAUUGUAUUGUUUUUCUAUAUAUUAUUAUUAUUAUUGUUUUCUUUUUUUAACUACAGACAGAAAUGGGUUACUGGGGACAAUUCAGGGACUCCAGCAAACCCUUCAGCAACAGUGUGAUUUGAGAGGUAGGGUUCUGCAUCACUUGUCUCACUGGAAGGUAGAUGUUUCAUUCAUAUUUAGCUGUUUUAACAGACAUUCAUGUUAUUGUGUUGUAGUGGAAAAUGAAAGGUUGAAAAAGUCAUUGCUUGACAUGAAGAAGAAUAAUGUAAAAAUCUUGGAGGAUUGUCAUGCUCAAAAUGAAGGGCUUCAGGCUGAGAUGGCAGUUCUACAAGAAGACCACCAGAGGGAGCUAGAGGAAGCCCAACAAGAGACCCAGAGAAAAUUUUAG
rnacentral:lncRNA from 1 species